UGCCUUUUGUGGAAUGGAAUGAUGCAACAAGUGUGGGCCUGGGCCAGCAUCAUGAGCAGCUUCUAAGAACUUGUCGGAAAGGCUAAAUCUGAGUCCACACCCCACCCCUGUGGAUUUGUAACCCAGUCUGCUGUGUUGUACCAGGUCCUCCAGAAUGACUGCCGUGCCGGGCCCAGGGCAGUCAGCGUGCAAAGACAGCUGAGGGAUUGCACAGGUGCAGGUUGACACCUGACUGCAGGAUCUUCAGCGACAGACUUGAGGAGUAAGGCAUCUUCUCAUCCCACUGAGGAGGUCUUACAAGUGUUUGGACAAGUCGUUCAUUCAUUCUUCAUUCAACUGAUACUUAUGAGCACCUGCUGUGCUGGUCACUCAGAUGCCGCAGUAAACAUCCCACACCAGCUCAGGCAGAGGGCGGAUCUCGAGACCAGAUUGCCACUGUCUGUCUCUUUUAUCAAACUUACUAAUAGAAACAUACACUAUUAUGCUGUCUAGAGACAACUCUGCUGCUUGCCUCUGACAUCAGUUCUGCAGUUUCAUGUUUACUGAAGUUCCAAGCACUAGUGAUGCAACUGAUGAAGGAAAAACAGCCUCACGAAGCUAUUUAUUUUCUAGUGGAGAGACACAGAGGUUGCCACGCCAGGUGGAGGCCUGUCAAAAGAAAACUGGAACCUGUGAAGAAUUCAACAGGUUUUCAAACUGGCCACACCACCACGAAGAGAGGAUGCCAGCUCAGCCUCCACGUGCCUGACAGUUGUCCUCAGACUUUUAUUGCUAUCCCAUGGCCGCAAUGGCUGUGGUAGCCUGUUACAGAUGAGGCCCCCUGUGGCCUUCCUCGCUGACGACAGAGGACGUGGCCUUUUGGGGCCUUCCUCUUGCAAAUCAUUGAUGCCACCAUCACACUUUCUGCUUGCGCUUUUCCCACCUGCUCUAACACAAGUGAAUCCGGCAGUCCUGGCCACUGGGUGUUGUUUACAAAAACUGUUUUCCUAAAUCAGUCACCUAGAAGGAGGGUAGCAGGAACAGAGAAGGGAGAGGGCUGGGAGACCCCGUGUGUGCGAGUGUGUGCCCACGUCUAGACCCAUUUUGCAGAAAGAGACAGACUUCUUUGGGGCUGGGGGAGGGCCGGGGAACGGGCAGCAUGGCUCUCCUGCUGUUCCUCCACUAUGCUCCUGCACGGGGCCUAAGCACAGUGCAUCUACACCGGCCCCCUCACCUUGGGGUACAUUCCAAGACCUCCGCAAGAUGCCUGAGCACCAAACCUUAGUAUAUAUUACAUUUUUCCUUCCACAUGCAUGCCUAGGAUAAGGCUUAAUUUAUAAGUUAGGUAUGGAAAAGAUAUUAACAACGCACAAUACAACAAUUGCAAUCAUAUAAUAUAAUAAGAAUUAUUUAAAACUUAUGACUUAAGUCUAAGUCUCCCAGUCCUGUGCUCCUCAUGUUCCUCAAGCCACCUCCAGGGUCUGCCAGCAGCCUGAACAUACCCCAUUUGGAGUGGUCAGGGUUUGGAGCUCCCUGCAGCUUUUAACCCCGUUUAAACUCUAUUUCAAAAUCUGAAAAAAAAAAAAAGAAAGAAAGAAAGAAAUCUGCAUAUUUAAGCAACAACUUGUCUGGGGGCAUCCAGAGGAUGGCCUUUCUUAACCUUCUUCUGAAUCUGCGUCUAUCUGGUGGAGGAGGGAGGAGGGACCAGGAACAAGAGGAGGAACCAGCAGAGAAUUUUCCCAGUUUCCCAGUAGAUGAGGCCAAGACUCAGGAAGCCAGAGACAAAUUCAUGACUUUCUUGGCAUUCUGUACCUUUGCCAAGUCCUUGCCCUUUGCUCUCACUAUUUCCAGGGGUUGGUUUCCAGUGUAGGCUGAGGAAGUGUCUGUGUGGAGAGCUGGAGCAGGACCUGCUUCGAAGAAGGAGGGUGUUUCCACCAAAAGCCGGCCCUGGGGGUCACAGUAACUGGCCCAGAGCAAGAAGUGCCCUCUGAGUGAAAGAAUGAUUUAUCAGCUCAAGAACCUCCUGGAGAUUGUGGCUUCCGCUGCAACAGCCAGCUAUGGUUUUGCUGCUAAGUAGUUCUGGGUUCAAAUCCCACCUUCGCUUCUAGCAGAGAGGUCUUGGGGGAGUCUCCCACCAAAGGAUCGGUCGUCUCACAAAUGAAAUAGGAAUGCAGACUAGUACCCACCCUCUGGAGUGUUCGGAGGUUUUCAUGAAUGAUGUGGAAGAGCUAAGGGUGGCUAUAUUAGUAGAGGCUUAGGGGCGGCUGGGAAGUGAGAGGACAAGAAAGGUGGCUUUGCUUGUCCUGAAAAGACAGUAACAAAAACCAGGGGCGGAUUCAGCCAUGAAGCAGUUUGCAAGGACUUCUGUAAAUAGCCCAUAUGCUGGCUCUGAGAAACUACUUUGAAAAGCAUACAAGCCAUAAAAUAGCACCAGUAUUUUUUCCCCAGUGUGAGCAAAAAUAUUCACGCAGGAAGCCUAAGCCAAUCUUCUGGGAAUAAGACUCUAAAUAUUACUUGUGAGUCACCCCAGAUUCCUUCCAAGAGAAAGACUCCCCCAUCCCUUCACCUAACACCCCCGUCCAUGACACAUUAAGAUUUUAACAUUUCAGCUUUUCCCACCAAACUUCCAGUCCCUCGGCGUGGCCAGAAGAACAGCCUUGUGCGCAGAGAACACGACUCUUGUCUCCAGGUUAGAAUCAGCAAAAAAAAAAAAUAAUAAUUUUUUUAAAAGAGCAAGAUCCACGCAAGUUCCAAGGUAGACACUAGGUGGCGCUAGACCCCGCGUUAUUCAGGCAGCUCAAUCCCUGUCCUUCGCUGGGGCUGGGGAGUUUUUGCAGUGAGGUCCGCUCCUUCCAGAGACUCUGCGCUGAGGUGCGGGGGUGAGGGUUCACUUUAAACCAAAAGCAAAAAGCCAGGCCAGGUCUCGUGUCUGAGGAGCCCCUGGCUUUUCUGCUCACCCAGACCCCGUCAGGAUGUGGCUGGGAGGAAGGAGGUUCUCAGACCUGAGGCUAGAGACCCUGAAGAACUUUGCUGAGCUAUAAACAAUGUUAAGAACAAAUAGCCCUUUUCAAUUUGUGCUCUGCCCUGGGACAGGAAGGAAAAGAACUUUCUUCCUUAGCGGGAGGGUGAGGGGGAGAAAACGCCCAUCCUAGAGGCUCUCGAAGGAGAACAACCAAGCCCAGGUCUUCUCUCCCCCUCCUCAGGCAUGGGGCUGCGGUGCACCCUGACCUCAGUGCGCUGCGUUUCAGGUCCAGCGCUGGCUCAGUGUAAAACACUAUCCUCAGUGUCCCCGGGCAGGUGGGUUGCCGGUUCAAUCUCUUUCUGCCAGGAUUUGGACUGACGUCGCCAUUAAACACCUGUUUAGUCUCUGUAAUGGUUGAUACUGUGUCUACUUGGGAAGUUUAGAAGUUUAACUAAGCCACUCCGCAGUGGGCCACGGUCCUUACUUUGUAAACACCCUCAUCCUGUGCAAGAGGAGGGCACGGAGAUGGUGCGAGUACCACACCGCCCAAGGGUGAAGAGCCCGCUUACAAUAUAAGGGAGGAAGAGAGGCUUGUUCUCCCGUCUUUUUUGCUCUUGCUGCUUUUGCUGUCUUGUGCCGCCUUGAACUGUUACCCCUGUGCCGUGCCACCCUGCCUUGGAGCCAGCUGAUUACAGACUGAAACCUCCACAAACUGUGAGCUAAAUAAACCUUUCC
ensembl:lincRNA